rnacentral:rRNA from 1 species
GUUGAUUGUUAUCCUAAUAUCUCCAUUGCCUAUCGCAACUUUUUUACUGUGGAUGUGACGGUCGCAUCGGCCGAAAGAAACUUUUUGAAGUUGAAAUAAUUGAAGAAUUAUUUGAGGUCAACAUUGACUCAAGAUAGAUUAAAUGGUUUGGCUACAUUAUGCAUCGAGAAGAAAUUAUUUAUUGGAUGA